AUUACCGCGGCUGCUGGCACGUAGUUAGCCGGUGCUUAUUCUUACGGUACCGUCAUGAGCCCCAGGUAUUAACCAGAGCCUUUUCGUUCCGUACAAAAGCAGUUUACAACCCGAAGGCCUUCUUCCUGCACGCGGCAUUGCUGGAUCAGGCUUGCGCCCAUUGUCCAAAAUUCCCCACUGCUGCCUCCCGUAGG
rnacentral:rRNA from 1 species